AAUAAACUGUGACUUUUCUAUUAGUGAGAGGAAUACUUCCACGAGCAGUAGCAUUUCCUCUUGUUAUACAUAGAUUCUCCAGUAUUUUGUAUGGCACUACCUGACAUUUGUUUUUCAAAAAUGAUGUAGCAGAGGACGGUGUUCCUACCACUCACUGCUGAAAGUCUCCCUGUUCCAUGUCUAGUGUUCAGUCAGUAGAGAACUCUCAAUUGUCCUGGUAGCCAUAGCUAUGAUUCCAACCACUAAAAAACCCAAAAACAUUCUCACCGUGAAUUUCAAGAUUUUUAGGAUCAAUGGAGACUAGUGAAAUAUCUUCAGGGCAGAUAUAUGCCAGGAAGACAUCUCUCUGCCUAGACAAUGGGCACAGGCCCAUUGGCCCAAUUAAGCAACAUCAUAAACUCAGAAAAGCUCACAGUUACAUAUAUAAACAGGAAGAUGACUGCAGAUCUAACAAGGUGAGGAAUAGCCCUAUGGCACAUUUUCUUCUCCAUCUUGUGUUAUUAAAUCCCUCCAUGGAUUGUCAGAGUACGAAGAAGAGGGAAAGCAGAGGAUAAGUAGGACAUACCUGACAGACCUUUGCAGUUUUCUAUAGAUGGGGCAGUGGGAGGAAGAGAGGAAGAAACUGUAUUUUUUCAUUAAAUGUAAGUUGUUUACUAUGCAUCUUAAGCCCCAUUUUCCCAGACUGUGUACAUCAAAUUAGUUUGCCAAUGAUGUAUGAAAUAAAAUACUUUAUUUUCUUAAGAGAGAAAUCAAAGAGAUCUUUUCUUUGAAGUGCCGUGGAGAAAAUGAAAAAAUGAAAAUUUAAACAGCUCAAAGUGGAGACUAAUAGCUCUUGCCAUAACAUGCAGAACUUCAAGAAUUUCUUCAGUACUGCUGAGGAUAAAGGCAGAGGAGAAGCAGGGUGCAAAUUGGUGGGAGCUGGGCACAGUGCCCACAGGGCAAUAGCCAAACCUAGAGUUCUCUAGUAAGGUAAGACAGCUCAGCGGUAUCCUUCAGUAUAAAAUCCCUUUUCUUUGUCAUUCUAAGUUAUUAUUCCUGUCUUGUAGGAGCAUCUUCAUUCUUUUUCAGGUCGUAUCAAUGAUCUAAAGUAAAACGUGUGGAGUUAAGAUGGCAGCUGCUUUUUCCUUUGCACACUGUCAGGCAAGCGUCUGACUUCACUGUAGCUUGGCAAAUACCAAGCUUUUGAAUAAAGAAAAACAACAUCUUCAGAAUGCUAGAGCUCCUGAGGUCUGUGUUAGGCUUAUGAAAAUUGGUGAAUCCAAACCGUAUUAAUACUAAGCAUUAUUAAAUCUGUCACAUUGAAUGCAACAUCUUUCUCACACAGAAGGUGGGGAGUGAGUAGAGUUCACAGCACCUAGCACAAGAUGAGGGCCACAGUUUCCUGUACUGUGCUGUUCUAACCAUUGAAAGCCAUUGAGCACAUCUAUAAAUUGAAGAUGGAACCCAUAAAAAUACGUAAUGGGUAUGUAUGCACAUGAGAACAUGGAAGAAAAACAUUAGCUAAAUAUAUCAGGUGGUUUUUUUCACUAUGUCUCAGUAGAAUGCACUAGCAAUAGGUGAGAUUGAUUUAAAGCAUUUAUUUAUGCAAGGUUAAUGAGCCUGUGUGAGUCAUUAUUUUAGGAUUUUAUUAAAGAACUUUUUAGACAACUAAGGGAGCAACAAGAAUAUGUGUUAAAAUGGAAAAGAUUUUUUUUUAAAAAAUGGAAAGGCUAAACUCCACACUAUUUUCUAAAAUGCAAGAAAAACUUUUUACCUGAAAUUUAGUUUUUUAUUUGGCCACAAAAUUUGCCAUCCAGUUUUAUUUAUUUAUUUAUUUAUUUAGAUACAGCCAGUCCAAGAAAAGAAUGUUGGCAGUUUUCAGAAAUAUGUUAUUGAGUUAGAAGGCUCUCAAGAUAACCUACAAUUGCAGUUUUUAAGCAUAUUUUACCAAGGUAUAUUAAAAACUUAGAAAAAACAACUAGAAUUAUGAUAAUAAUGAAAGCAUUAAAAUAUAGCUGGGAUUUCAAAGGAUAAUGUCAGAUGAUGAAACAUAGUUUAAAUGGAACAGACUUCUAUACUCCUGAAUUUUGAAACAUUUCAUAGAGAUGACUGUAUUGGGUGUGCGUGCAUCUCCAGAAAGUACUUAUGGAGUAAUUCUAUACUGGGAGAUAUCCUGACAGUUUGGCUCUUCUGCAGCAAACUGGUUGUGAUCGUGCAGUCUAAUGGACAAACUGACUUAACAUAUGAAAGCUGAAGGUAGACCACUAAUACAGAUAUUUUUAGUACUAUGUACCAAAAAGAAAAUCAACAGAAUUUAUUUUUAUAGAAUAAAAGCUGCUUUCAUUCUGGAAGCCUUUGACUUUCAUGCUGUCAGCUCUGAAUAUAAUUUCAAAUACUUUUUCCAUGUUUAAUUGUCUCAUUGCUAACAAAGAUCUAUUCUUUCGAUUGGAAUAAAAAAAAGGUAACUAGAUAUAUUUCUUUUAAAGCAUGAAUGAAAUCCAUGAGCGAAUAUCUCUGGAACUUUAUUGAAAAUACAUUUUUAAAGUAAUGUAGUUUUAUGGUAGAAGGCAUCAAUAGGUCAUACGCAUAUGACCACAUAACAGAAAUAUCUAUAGAUUCUUGAUUGUAUUUUUCUUAACAUACAACUUGCAAAAGAGGAGAAGAGAAUGGCACACGGAUAGAGAAAAAGAGAGAAGGAAUGAAAGAAAAGAAAGGAAGAUGUUUUAUAAUUAAAAAUUAUUUCUGGUGUUUAUCAAAAUAAAAUUUAAAAUAUAGUUAUCCUGCAGGAGAGUGAAAUAUAAUCAACGUCCUCAGUGCACUGUAACUGCACAUUUUAAUGCACAUUUUAAUAAUUUGUAUUAAUAUCUUGCGUUUUUGCAUAUUUCACAGGCAGCACUUUACAGCCAUUCUGCUGUAAUUCAGAAUGGGAUUUUAGAGGUAAGUCUUUAUUUUUCAUAAAAUUCAAUAUUCAUUCUACUAAUAAACAUAAAUUUUCCAAGUAGAUUAAUAUAUAAUAGACAAAUAUCAAUAUUUCUAAAAAUGCUUUGAACAAGAUUUCAGCAUGUUAUGGAUGUUUCAAUUAAAAAAGAAAAAAAGAACGUUUUAAGAACGUAUCGCUGAAGAAAAAAAAUGUAAGUAAUAUUAAGAUGGCCAUUUGUUACCUGCAUUUGCAGUCUGUGAAGUGCAGUGUACACUCUCCCUAGGUUGUAACUCUGCAUAAAUCACCUUAUUUGCCAUUUUGAAGAAACGUCUUCAGAUCUGUAAUUGAAAUGGACUCACUGAAGUAGUACCCCACAUGACAUCCUUUCUGGCCUCCUCCCACCUAUCACACCACAACAGGUCAAAAUAAAGGUUUAGUUGUCCGUAAAAUGGAAGGAAACUAGAUGCUUCAUUUUUUUCUUACGUAAAUUCUCACUUUGUAUCAUUAUUUUUAGCCCCUCCUGUUGAUGUAUCUUCAAUAAAAACAAUAUAGUUAUGAUUUUUAUCAACUUGCUCAUAGUUUGUGACCUCCAGCCCACUCAUAAUUUUAAUCUGG
ensembl:lncRNA